rnacentral:rRNA from 1 species
GAUGAACGCUGGCGGCGUGCCUAAUACAUGCAAGUCGAGCGAACAGACGAGGAGCUUGCUCCUCUGACGUUAGCGGCGGACGGGUGAGUAACACGUGGCUAACCUACCUAUAAGACUGGGAUAACUUCGGGAAACCGGAGCUAAUACCGGAUAAUAUAUUGAACCGCAUGGUUCAAUAGUGAAAGACGGCUUUGCUGUCACUUAUAGAUGGAUCCUCGCCGCAUUAGCUAGUUGGUAAGGUAACGGCUUACCAAGGCAACGAUGCGUAGCCGACCUGAGAGGGUGAUCGGCCACACUGGAACUGAGACACGGUCCAGACUCCUACGGGAGGCAGCAGUAGGGAAUCUUGCGCAAUGGGCGAAAGCCUGACGGAGCAACGCCGCGUGAGUGAUGAAGGUCUUCGGAUCGUAAAACUCUGUUAUUAGGGAAGAAAAAAUGUGUAAGUAAAUAUGCACGUCUUGACGGUACCUAAUCAGAAAGCCACGGCUAACUACGUG